CUAGAGGCUCUAAAAUGCAUUGCUCAAAGAUGUGUAAAGCCAGAUAAAAUUACAAAUUACUUUAGAAAACUUUUCUUGAAAUUGUAGAGGUCGUCCAGGAAUUGUAGAUAUUUUCGACACCACAAAAAACUGAAGAAGACUUCGUUUUACAAAAGAUCCACGAUCAAUCGACUGAAUUGACUGAAAUUUGGUUGGUGGUUAGAGUUUCUUAAUUUGUUCUCCGUAAUAAUUAGAAAACAAUUGUGAAGGACAUAAAAUUCCAAUUAUAUUUUAAUUAGAGGAAAAGAAAUUCCACUACAUUAUAGAAACAAUUAGAAAUCGAUGACCUCUCUUCUUAUAAAAACCUAUCUGGUCCAAAUUGAAUGUAUACUUCAUCUGAAGACAGUUUCGUAAUGACUAACUUCAUGAAAAUAAUUAUUCUCGUCGCAAUAUUGACUAUGACUGUAGCUGUUGCAUCACCUUUACCAAGAAGAUAUACAGAUAGAGAAGAGAUGGAAAUAGCAGGCCUAUUCGCAUGAUUUUUUCAUCAUAUAAAUAAAACUUAUCAAUAGAAAAA